UUGUGGAAUACAGAGGAGAGUUGAUAGACUCUGCUGAAUCUGAAGCUAGGAGGAAGAAGUAUCAUCCAUCACAGGCAGUUUUUAUGUUUGACUUCUACUGGCAUGGCAAAAAAUGGUGCAUUGAUGCUGCUGUGGAAAAUGGAUCAUUGGGGAGGCUGGUCAAUGAUGACCAUGUUAAUCCUAACUGCCGGGUGAAAAAAAUUGUUUCAGAUGGAAAGCCACAUCUAGUCCUGUUUGCUUUUCAAAACAUAGAGAGAGGAGAUGAACUCACAUAUGAUUAUGGCGGAAUUGAUUAGCCUUGGAGGGUUGAUGAAAACAACAACAAGGAACUGGUGGAAAGUUCCAACACAAGGGUACAACACACCAAUGAGGUUUCCCCUUCAAUUCUGAAGGU